rnacentral:pre_miRNA from 1 species
UGCACACCGGCGAUCUUAACGUAUUUUCUAAUAUAUAUCGUUAAAAUCGUCGACGUACACA